CCAAUAGCGUAUAUUAAAGUUGUUGCAGUUAAAAAGCUCGUAGUUGAAUUUCGGGAUCAAGGAAUCGGUCAUGCCUUGGUAUGUACUGGUUUUAUUGGUUCUCACCUUCUAAAGAACCAUAAUGUCAUUUAUUUGAUGUUAUGGGGAAUUAGGACUGUUACUUUGAAAAAAUUAGAGUGUUUAAAGCAGGCUCGCGCUUGAAUACAUUAGCAUGGAAUAAUGAAAUAGGACGUUUGAUUCUAUUUUGUUGGUUUCUAGGAUUGACGUAAUGAUUAAUAGGGAUAGUUGGGGGCAUUAGUAUUCAAUUGUCAGAGGUGAAAUUCUUGGAUUUAUUGAAGACUAACUACUGCGAAAGCAUUUGCCAAGGAUGUUUUCAUUAAUCAAGAACGAAAGUUAGGGGAUCGAAGACGAUCAGAUACCGUCGUAGUCUUAACCAUAAACUAUGCCGACUAGGGAUCGGAUGAUGUUAAUUUUUUAAUGACUCAUUCGGCGCCUUACG
rnacentral:rRNA from 1 species